GGAAGAGCCAGGAUGGCCAACAACAGUCUGCUUUCAUUAAGAACAGUAGAGCACCCAAACAGAGUCGGCUCUGGUGGGUCACAUUGUGUUGGGAGAAGGUUCAAAGACAUGUUAUUGAUAACAAUAAAAAGUUGUCUCUGUGCAGUGUUGAUAAAUGGAGGUAAAAGUCCUAGAGCCAGAGCAGAUCUUCAUGCAUCGUCACUUCAUAAACUCCAUCAACACCCAUCAAUAUCAGCAUGACCAGCGUGGUGGAAAACAACGCUACAAUAUCUUCCAGAGAUGAACACUGUACACACACGCAGUGAGCCCCAAAGCCUCAGAUGUUCUCCCAAGGACCCAAAUUCAAUCAGGAAUGAGCUUUCUUCCCAGCCAUUCCCAGGCGUUCUAUAGUUGCUAUGGUGCCAAGCGGCAGCCUAGGCAGAGAAAUCAACGACCCAAGAGGAAGCUAUGUAAGUAGAGUUGGCAGUGUGCCAGGGGUUUCAUUGCUCAGGAGGAUACUUCUGAAGUAAGGACUGAGUGAGCUGUACUCUUUGGGGAGCAAACUUCACCACAGAGUCUCAAUAUAGGGAAGACAGCAGAGAGGCUUGGAUGACAUGGAGCUGCCUGCCUGCCUGCCUGCCUGCCUGCCUGCCUGCCUGCCUGCCUGCCUGCCUGCCUGCCUGCCUGCCUGCCUGCCUGCCUGCCUGCCUGCCACCACCUCCGACCACCAUCUCUGCUGACCAUCUACCUAUGAGCUUCCAGAUCCUCUCAUGACCGUGGCUGCCCAUCUGGAAGCUUCAAGAAGUACUCAGACAGACUUGAUCUAGCUGAUCUAGCUACUGUUGUAGCCUGUAUUUUCCUCAACAUUUAAACAUUUCGAUUUUAUGGGAACGUCUUAAUAAUCUAAAUGUGUUUCUUGUAUGUGUUACUGCAAUUCAGCUUUAAGCUGCCAUAGUACACAUGAAAUUAAAUUCAAAUAUACCAUUAUCAUCAUCAUUCCUUGCUUGGAAAACAUAUGUUGUUUUAAUAACAAUAAAAUCUUACUUCUGAUCUUUAUGUAAUUAUCCAGAUAAGUUCACAAAUGUACUAUGGCCAAGAUUCAAAUAAAGGUGUGUUGUGGAUGCACUGUCUACAAUUGGUCCCAGGCCUCCCACAGUGAAAAACCUGAAAUUCACUACUUUCAUGCAAUUCAGCUUUAAGCUGCCAUAGUACACAUGAAAGGAAAUGAAAAUAUACCAUUAUCAUCAUCAUUUCUGAGUCAAAUUGCAACCCAAAAUCUACUGCUCAGAUUUAAAAAAAAAUACAUUACUUAAAAAAUGUAAGCCUGUGCGAAAUUAACUUUUCAAAACAGUACUGUAGUAAUGAGGAUUGUGCAGUAGGCUCAAAACAUUAUCACCACAUAUUGUCUUUGCUUGAAUUGACCUACCAAUGCCUUCUUGUUCUUCUCACACCAUUUCCAAAUGAUAUUUAAAAACCUGAGAUAGGACCUACACUAUAUGAUCACACUAGUCAUAGAUUGUUGUAUUACAUGUGAGGCACA
rnacentral:lncRNA from 1 species